GUGAAUCAUCGAAUCUUUGAACGCAUAUUGCACUCUCUGGUAUUCCGGAGAGUAUGCCUGUUUGAGGGUAAUUAAAAAGAAUAUUUAACCAAUUUUUUUUGGUCAAAGGAAAUGAGCUUGCUGCGUUUAUAGCGGUAGCUUGAAAUAAAUGGUUAAGUGUAAUUUUAGUCGAGACGCGUAAUAAUAUUAUUUUGCGAAAUAUUUAUUAUGUGACUAUUAAGUUUUGAUGUAUACAAAUUUGGUUUGUAUGGGAUUAUUACAAAU
rnacentral:misc_RNA from 1 species